UGAGUGGCGACGGGUGAGUAACGCGUGGGCAACCUGCCCUGUACAGGGGGACAACACUUAGAAAUAGGUGCUAAUACCGCAUAACGGGGGGAGCCGCAUGGCACCCCCUGAAAACUCCGGUGGUACAGGAUGGGCCCGCGUCUGAUUAGCUGGUUGGCAGGGUAACGGCCUACCAAGGCGACGAUCAGUAGCCGGCCUGAGAGGGCGGACGGCCACACUGGGACUGAGACACGGCCCAGACUCCUACGGAAGGCAGCAG
rnacentral:rRNA from 1 species